CCUACGGGGGGCUGCAGUGGGGAAUAUUGGACAAUGGGGGCAACCCUGAUCCAGCCAUGCCGCGUGUGUGAAGAAGGCCCUCGGGUUGUAAAGCACUUUCAGUGAGGAAGAACGCCUGGUGGUUAAUACCCAUCAGGAAAGACAUCACUCACAGAAGAAGCACCGGCUAACUCCGUGCCAGCAGCCGCGGUAAUACGGAGGGUGCGAGCGUUAAUCGGAAUUACUGGGCGUAAAGCGCGCGUAGGUGGCUUGAUAAGCCGGUUGUGAAAGCCCCGGGCUCAACCUGGGAACGGCAUCCGGAACUGUCAAGCUAGAGUGCAGGAGAGGAAGGUAGAAUUCCCGGUGUAGCGGUGAAAUGCGUAGAGAUCGGGAGGAAUACCAGUAGCGAAGGCGGCCUUCUGGACUGACACUGACACUGAGGUGCGAAAGCGUGGGUAGCAAACAGGAUUAGAUACCCUUGUAGUC
rnacentral:rRNA from 1 species